rnacentral:rRNA from 1 species
CAGUAGCCGCGGGUAAUACGAAGGGGGCUAGCGUUGCCCGGAAUUACUGGGCGUAAAGGGCGCGUAGGCGGACAGUUCAGUCGGGGGUGAAAGCCCGGGGCUCAACCUCGGAAUUGCCUUCGAUACUGGCUGUCUUGAGUAUGAGAGAGGUGUGUGGAACUCCGAGUGUAGAGGUGAAAUUCGUAGAUAUUCGGAAGAACACCAGUGGCGAAGGCGACACACUGGCUCAUUACUGACGCUGAGGCGCGAAAGCGUGGGGAGCAAACAGGAUUAGAUACCCGUGUAGUCCCUGUCUCUUAUA